ACGAACGCUGGCGGCGUGCUUCACACAUGCCAGUCGAACGGUGAUGCUCCAGCUUGCUGGAGUGGAUCAGUGGCGAACGGGUGAGUAACACGUGAGCAACCUGCCCCAGACUCUGGAAUAAGCGCUGGAAACGGCGUCUAAUACUGGAUACGAAACUGGCCCGCAUGGGCAUGGUUUGGAAAGUUUUUCGGUUUGGGAUGGGCUCGCGGCCUAUCAGCUUGUUGGUGAGGUAAUGGCUCACCAAGGCGACGACGGGUAGCCGGCCUGAGAGGGCGACCGGCCACACUGGGACUGAGACACGGCCCAGACUCCUACGGGAGGCAGCAGUGGGGAAUAUUGCACAAUGGGCGAAAGCCUGAUGCAGCGACGCCGCGUGAGGGAUGACGGCCUUCGGGUUGUAAACCUCUUUCAGCAGGGAAGAAGCGAAAGUGACGGUACCUGCAGAAGAAGCACCGGCUAACUACGUG
rnacentral:rRNA from 1 species